rnacentral:rRNA from 1 species
UACGGAGGGGGCUAGCGUUGUUCGGAAUUACUGGGCGUAAAGCGCACGUAGGCGGCUUUGUAAGUUAGAGGUGAAAGCCCGGAGCUCAACUCCGGAAUUGCCUUUAAGACUGCAUCGCUCGAAUCAUGGAGAGGUGAGUGGAAUUCCGAGUGUAGAGGUGAAAUGCGUAGAUAUCCGGAGGAACACCAGUGGCGAAAGCGGCCACCUGGACUGUACCUGACGCUCAAACACGAAAGCUAGGGGAGCGAACGGG